AUUGAACGCUGGCGGCAUGCUUUACACAUGCAAGUCGAACGGUAACAGGCCGCAAGGUGCUGACGAGUGGCGAACGGGUGAGUAAUGCAUCGGAACGUGCCCAGUCGUGGGGGAUAACUGCUCGAAAGAGCAGCUAAUACCGCAUACGAUCUAUGGAUGAAAGCGGGGGACCGUAAGGCCUCGCGCGAUUGGAGCGGCCGAUGUCAGAUUAGGUAGUUGGUGGGGUAAAAGCUUACCAAGCCGACGAUCUGUAGCUGGUCUGAGAGGACGAUCAGCCACACUGGGACUGAGACACGGCCCAGACUCCUACGGGAGGCAGCAGUGGGGAAUUUUGGACAAUGGGCGCAAGCCUGAUCCAGCAAUGCCGCGUGCAGGAUGAAGGCCUUCGGGUUGUAAACUGCUUUUGUACGGAACGAAAAGCCCUGGGUUAAUACCCUGGGGUCAUGACGGUACCGUAAGAAUAAGCACCGGCUAACUACGUGCCAGCCGCCGCAGUAAUAC
rnacentral:rRNA from 1 species